rnacentral:rRNA from 1 species
AACGAACGCUGGCGGCAUGCCUAACACAUGCAAGUCGAGCGAGACCUUCGGGUCUAGUGGCGCACGGGUGCGUAACGCGUGGGAACCUGCCCUUAGGUUCGGAAUAACUCCCCGAAAGGGGUGCUAAUACCGGAUAAUGUCUUCGGACCAAAGAUUUAUCGCCUUUGGAUGGGCCCGCGUUGGAUUAGCUAGUUGGUAGGGUAAAAGCCUACCAAGGCGACGAUCCAUAGCUGGUCUGAGAGGAUGAUCAGCCACACUGGGACUGAGACACGGCCCAGACUCCUACGGGAGGCAGCAGUGGGGAAUAUUGGACAAUGGGCGAAAGCCUGAUCCUGCAAUGCCGCGUGAGUGAUGAAGGCCUUAGGGUUGUAAAGCUCUUUUACCCGGGAUGAUAAUGACAGUACCGGGAGAAUAAGCUCCGGCUAACUCCGUC